rnacentral:lncRNA from 1 species
CAAAUCUCCACAGGGCAGAUUGAGAGAUAUAUUCUAGGGAAGGGUGCUAUGGCGAGAAGCACACGGGCAUGUGGAGCUGGCACUCCACGUCAUGGCCAAUUAACCCGCCAGUUGGCCUAAUGCGCUCCCGGGAGUCCGGCUGUAGAAGGAUGGUACUAGGAAAGGCUCCACUAAGUGUUAUCUCUGUAGCAGGAUGGUUACUAGGAAAGGCUCCGCUAAGUGUUAUCUGUAGCAGGAUGGUACUAGGAAAGGCUCCGCUAAGUGUUAUCUCUGUAGCAGGAUGGUUACUAGGAAAGGCUCCGCUAAGUGUUAUCUCUGUAGAAGGAUGGUUACUAGGAAAGGCUCCACUAAGUGUUAUCUCUGUAGCAGGAUGGUUACUAGGAAAGGCUCCGCUAAGUGUUAUCUCU